UUUUUUUUUAGCCGCAUACGUUUCCUGCUUUCCCCAAAUCCUCUAAUUCUUGCACCUUAUCCAAACCCACACUUAUAUACAAAAAUCUUAUCCUUCCUUCCCUCAAAUGAACAUACAGACAACACACAACCUUCAUUAUCUAAAGUCUGAGCAUUUUGAUGAAACCCUACCCUUUUAAACCACCCGACACCUCCCUUUCUCUUGGUUAAACGACCAUGCUGCGGAGAAAUCGAAGAACUCGAGGAGAGAGAGAACCCAGCGAGGGAGAGAGAGAACGCAGGAGUACCAUUUCCAGCGACGGACCGCUGAUGGCGGUGGAGACGUCCGGUGGCGGCGGUGACCACCGGAACUCCGAUCCGACGAAGAUCACAACCGGCCGAAGUUGUCAGAGCCGGUGGAACACCGGCGACGACAGGCGGCGCUGACGCCGCUCACGGCGGUGGCGGUGGAAUUUCGCGAAGAUUGUUCGGUUUUUGUCCACAUCGAUGAAGAUGGUGAUGAUUUUUUUUCUGUAAGCCAUGAUCCUUUCUCCACUUUUAUUUCAGAUCCGGCUCGAUCUCCGUCUUCUCGACUGUUUGAUUUUCGUUUCAGGGUAGUAGUGUGGGUGUAUGAUGUAAUGGUGAUGGAAGAUGUCAACCGUGAUGGGUGGGGUGGCUAACGGAGGCGCACGACAGCAGUGGUGGUUAUCAUCUUUUAGUUCGGGUUCGAGUGAAGAGGUUACGGAUUCGGGUUAUGUUUGGUUAGAUCCAGCUGAGUUUUGUUUUCUUUUGUGUGAGAAUUUGGUUCCGAGUUGGAUUGUUUCGGGCUCGGUCAACAGCCGUCAACGAGGAGUUCGGGUCAAACAAAGUCAAACCAGUCAACACGUCAGGUUGACUGGUCAAUGCUGGUCAACGGGAGUCAAGGGCAGAAUUCGGUUUGGGUUUCGCGACUCAGUCGGGUUCGACUCAACUCAACUGCGUUUCGGGUCAAACCCGGUUGGCUCGGUCAACACCCGAGUCAACUCGGGUCGACAACAGGUCAAGGUAGUCAACAACAGUCAACUCCUGGUCAACACGAGAGGCCCGGUAAAGUUGUUAGCGUAGCGAGUUAGUUACGUUAGAUUUUAGUUAGUUAUACGCGACCGAGCUCGACCCGAAUGGAUUAGCGAUUGGUUACAUUUUAUUUUAUAGUAUUUCAUAAAAUUUUAGUAUAUUUUGUUUGAAGUGAUUGAAUUUUGAAAUUAUACGACGCAUUC